UUGUUCUUGGCUGACUUGGUCAGGCAAAUACAGUUGCCUGUUUCCGUUGAUUUUAUUCGCGCCGAAUCCUACGGUUCCGGCACCAAGUCCACCGGUGCCCCCACUAUUUCCAUGGACUUGAAGCUCAAUGUUGAAGGCAAACAUGUCAUCCUGGUUGAGGAUAUUGUAGACACAGGAAGCACUUUAUCCAGUCUCAUUGCACACUUGAAAUCCAAGGGAGCUUCCUCUGUUUCUGUUUGCUCUUUCCUUGAUAAGCCAGCAAGAAGGAAAGUCCAUUUUGAACUAGUGGGUGAUGGAAAGUACUACCUAG
rnacentral:misc_RNA from 1 species